rnacentral:rRNA from 1 species
UACCAGCACCCCGAGUGGUCGGGACGAUUAUUGGGCCUAAAGCAUCCGUAGCCGGUUCUACAAGUCUUCCGUUAAAUCCACCUGCUUAACAGAUGGGCUGCGGAGGAUACUACAGAGCUAGGAGGCAGGAGAGGCAAGCGGUACUCAGUGGGUAGGGGUAAAAUCCGUUGAUCCAUUGAAGACCACCAGUGGCGAAGGCGGCUUGCCAGAAUGCGCUCGACGGUGAGGGAUGAAAGCUGGGGGAGCAAACCGG